rnacentral:rRNA from 1 species
UACGAAGGGGGCUAGCGUUGCUCGGAAUCACUGGGCGUAAAGCGCACGUAGGCGGAUUGCUAAGUCAGGGGUGAAAUCCUGGAGCUCAACUCCAGAACUGCCUUUGAUACUGGCGAUCUUGAGUCCGGAAGAGGUGAGUGGAAUUCGCAGUGUAGAGGUGAAAUUCGUAGAUAUUCGGAGGAACACCAGUGGCGAAGGCGGCUCACUGGUCCGGUACUGACGCUGAGGUGCGAAAGCGUGGGGAGCAAACAGG